GAUGAACGCUGGCGGCGUGCCUAAUACAUGCAAGUCGAGCGAACAGACGAGGAGCUUGCUCCUCUGACGUUAGCGGCGGACGGGUGAGUAACACGUGGAUAACCUACCUAUAAGACUGGGAUAACUUCGGGAAACCGGAGCUAAUACCGGAUAAUAUAUUGAACCGCAUGGUUGAAUAGUGAAAGACGGUUUUGCUGUCACUUAUAGAUGGAUCCGCGCCGCAUUAGCUAGUUGGUAAGGUAACGGCUUACCAAGGCAACGAUGCGUAGCCGACCUGAGAGGGUGAUCGGCCACACUGGAACUGAGACACGGUCCAGACUCCUACGGGAGGCAGCAGUAGGGAAUCUUCCGCAAUGGGCGAAAGCCUGACGGAGCAACGCCGCGUGAGUGAUGAAGGUCUUCGGAUCGUAAAACUCUGUUAUUAGGGAAAAACAAAUGUGUAAGUAGCUAUGCACGUCGUGACGGUACCUAAUCAGAAAGCCACGGCUAACUACGUG
rnacentral:rRNA from 1 species